rnacentral:rRNA from 1 species
UACGAACUGUGCGAACGUUAUUCGGAAUCACUGGGCUUAAAGGGUGCGUAGGCGGUUUGUUAAGUCAGGUGUGAAAUCCCCCGGCUCAACCGGGGAACAGCGCUUGAAACUAGCAGGCUUGAGUGAGGUAGGGGAUCACGGAACUUCCGGUGGAGCGGUGAAAUGUGUAGAUAUCGGAAGGAACGCCGGUGGCGAAAGCGGUGAUCUGGGCCUUGUCUGACGCUGAGGCACGAAAGCUAGGGGAGUGAACGGG